UCUCUUUCAAUUUUACGGUGGAUGGACGUCGUUCAGGCUGAGUUUCUGAGGAGCUGUGCUAAUCCGAGUAAAAUUCUAGAUGACGGUGUGACAUGAAUGUCAGGACUGCACCUUACAUGCACAGGACCGCUCCUUCCUACACUCCCGCAAGAUACAGGAUACUCAGCAAGUCUAUCCCGUGUCUCCAUGGAACCUAGAAGCAUGCCUCUCCUCAUCUCUCAAAGGAAUGGCCUUUCUGUCUGUGGAGGAGUCCGUUGCCUUCUUGUUGAGAGAAUGUACACCUCGCUGUCAGAAAAGAUACGGAC